CUCCUGGAAACGGGUGGUAAUGCCGGAUGCUCCAGUUGAUCGCAUGGUCUUCUGGGAAAGCUUUCGCGGUAUGGGAUGGGGUCGCGUCCUAUCAGCUUGACGGCGGGGUAACGGCCCACCGUGGCUUCGACGGGUAGCCGGCCUGAGAGGGCGACCGGCCACAUUGGGACUGAGAUACGGCCCAGACUCCUACGGGAGGCAGCAGUGGGGAAUAUUGCACAAUGGGCGCAAGCCUGAUGCAGCGACGCCGCGUGAGGGAUGGAGGCCUUCGGGUUGUAAACCUCUUUUAUCGGGGAGCAAGCGAGAGUGAGUUUACCCGUUGAAUAAGCACCGGCUAACUACGUGCCAGCAGCCGCGGUAAUACGUAGGGUGCAAGCGUUAUCCGGAAUUAUUGGGCGUAAAGGGCUCGUAGGCGGUUCGUCGCGUCCGGUGUGAAAGUCCAUCGCUUAACGGUGGAUCCGCGCCGGGCACGGGCGGGCUUGAGUGCGGUAGGGGAGACUGGAAUUCCCGGUGUAACGGUGGAAUGUGUAGAUAUCGGGAAGAACACCU
rnacentral:rRNA from 1 species